rnacentral:lncRNA from 1 species
GGCGAGGCUGAAGGCCGGGCUGGGGCGGUGCCUGGCUGCAGGGUGGUGGAGGAGGUGAAGGAGGAGGAGGAGGAGGAGGAAGAGGCCAGGAUAUUCCUGAAUGAACGUCUCCCUCCCUCCUCACCCCACACCUCCGCCCGCUGCCCGCCUCCCGCCCGCCACUCGCCGGCCCCGCUGCGAGGCGCAGCCAGUUUCUAUAGCGACGGCGCCGAGCCGCCGCUCCUCCGAGUAGUAACAAAGCCGGCUGCCCGCGGCCGCGCCGACACGGAGGGGAAGCGGCUCCCGAGGCCCCCCGACCGCCCUCCGCAGCACCCCGGCAGGACAAAAAGUGCACAGAGAACAUACCAAGGAUGAAUCAUCUGUUUUUAUUAUCAGUCAUUCAGGCAAUGUGGUGAUGGAUGGAUGAAUAGAUAGAGGCCAGAUCUGUGAGCCAGCUCGGCAUCUGGCAGGUAAGUUCCUGGAAGCUCACCAAAAUGUGUUCUCAAGAAUCACAUCUCUAUUUUAUGUGUUACAUUUUGCCAAAUAGUAUCCAAGAAUACAAAUCAUCUUCAGACAAUAAGAUCAUACUUGAGCAUACAUAAUUCCAUAAUUUUAGUGGAACUUAAGCACGUGCAUACUUGUACAAGUGUUCAAGAAUCUGAAGAAGGAUGCUUUCCUGGAUGGGGAGAUAGAGAAACAGCUCUUACAAGACUUAAAAAGAGUGAAGCUGAAUGGAAAAUUAAUGGCAUGCAGGUGAUAUAAAAACAGAACAGUAAUAUUGGGUGUUGAUGGAUCCCAAAAAAUUCUCAGAUGAAUUAAGUUUCUAGUAAAUCUUAUGUCAUCUGUCUGUUAAGAAGAUAUGAAUCUGUCUUAUGUGACUGCUUUGCCUGUCUCUGUCACCUGACAGGCAAGUUAAAGCAUUUUAUAAUCCUGGAAUGGAGAAAAAUUGAGUGUAGUGCUAUUUCCCUAUCCUUCCCUUGGUGUAACUCCCAAGACAACUUGUCCUGCAGUGGUAUGCUGUGCUUAUGGAUUUAGUAACGUUUUCAUUAUAAAGAUUAUUUUUAUGAAUUUGUUGUAAUGUGGCCAAUGCAAUUGAAUCAUGCUGAAGUGUGUUUGUUAGGGACUGAGGAUAAUUUUCAAUAUUUUUAUCUCUAUAAAUAUAAUGCUUAAGUAAUUCAUCUUGAUAUAGUCUAAUUAAAAUACAAGUUCUCAUUGAUUUUGGGGCAGGGAGGAGGGAAGCAUAUCACCAUAAUAAGUAGAAAGAAACUUCCUGGGGUUAUUUUUUUUCAUGCAGUUUUCUUAUUCAGAUGUGGCUAGGAAUAAGUUAAACAGCCUUCUGAAUUAAUUCCAUUAAAAUCAAGUCUUCUGCUUAUUU